rnacentral:rRNA from 1 species
ACUCCUACGGGAGGCAGCAGUGAGGAAUAUUGGUCAAUGGGCGCAAGCCUGAACCAGCCAUGCCGCGUGCAGGAUGACGGUCCUAUGGAUUGUAAACUGCUUUUGUACGGGAAGAAACACUCCUUCGUGAAGGAGCUUUGUACGGUUAACCGUAAGAAUAAGGAUCGGCUAACUCCGUGCCAGCAGCCGCGGUAAUACGGAGGAUCCAAGCGUUAUCCGGAAUCAUUGGGUUUAAAGGGUCCGUAGGCGGUUUUAUAAGUNAUGUGGUGAAAUCCGGCAGCUCAACUGUCGAACUGCCAUUGAUACUGUAGAACUUGAAUUAUUGUGAAGUAAACUAGAAUAUGUAGUGUAGCGGUGAAAUGCUUAGAGAUUACAUGGAAUACCAAUUGCGAAGGCAGGUUGAC